GGGGCUGUGGCUCACUGGUAGAGCAUCUACUUGGCAUGUAGAAGAUCCCAGGUGCAACCCCCAGCAUCUCCA
rnacentral:tRNA from 1 species